GCUGGCGGCGUGGAUAAGACAUGCAAGUCGAGCGAGAUUUUUCGUUGUAGCAAUACGAUGGAAAGUCUAGCGGCGAACGGGUGCUUAACACGUGGGCAACCUGCCAUGAAGUGGGGGAUAGCUCGCCGAAAGGCGAAUUAAUACCGCAUGUGAUUAGAGAGGACAUCCUUUCGAAAUUAAAGUCGGGGCAACCUGACGCUUCUUGUGGGGCCCGCGGCCUAUCAGCUAGUUGGUGAGGUAACGGCUCACCAAGGCUUUGACGGGUAGCUGGUCUGAGAGGACGACCAGCCACACUGGGACUGAGACACGGCCCAGACACCUACGGGUGGCAGCAGUCGAGAAUUUUUGACAAUGGGGGAAACCCUGAUCGAGCGACGCCGCGUGGAGGAUGAAGGUCUUCGGAUUGUAAACUCCUGUCAUUGGGGAACAAGGUGCAUACGUUAACUGCGUGUGCAUUGAU
rnacentral:rRNA from 1 species